rnacentral:rRNA from 1 species
UACGGAGGGGGCUAGCGUUGUUCGGAAUUACUGGGCGUAAAGCGCGCGUAGGCGGACCUGCAAGUCGGGGGUGAAAGCCCGAGGCUCAACCUCGGAACUGCCUUCGAUACUGCGGGUCUCGAGUCCGGGAGAGGUGAGUGGAAUUCCUAGUGUAGAGGUGAAAUUCGUAGAUAUUAGGAAGAACACCAGUGGCGAAGGCGGCUCACUGGCCCGGUACUGACGCUGAGGAGCGAAAGCGUGGGGAGCAAACAGG